AAACAUGCUGGUACUUUGAAACAAACGAAGGCCACAUUUGGUUUUUGGCACCUGGAGGGGGAAUGCUUUGUGUGUUCCCACUUUGGGAGGACCACUAAUCGACAAACACACACACACACCUUUUGUGCACUCUGGUGGACAGGUGUUGGGUUUCAGUAGUGUUGCCCACCUUGUUCCAUUUUACUUUACAAACGCCUGUAAUUGAAAGCAUGUCUGUCGAGCUCUAAGGAGCAUUGAAAUCCAAUAACAACUUUCAACAACGGAUCUCUUGGCUUUCGCAUCGAUGAAGAACGCAGCGAAUGUGCGAAACGUAAUGUGAAUUGCAGAAUUCAGUGAAUCAUCGAAUCUUUGAACGCAUCUUGCGCUCCUUGGUAUUCCGAGGAGCAUGCCUGUUUGAGUGUCGUGAAGUCACUCGACCCCUCCAUGGUUGUUUACACAUUGUGGGGGUGGUUGGAUUUGGAUGCUUGCCCUCGUCAAUGGGGGCUCAUCUCUAAAUGCAUUAGCUUUGGUCCCUCCCGUCCCAAACGACGUGAUAAUAGAACCUCGUCGGAAGGGGAAAAAAGGGAAGGGGGUUUGGUUUUCAAACCUCACCACCUC
rnacentral:misc_RNA from 1 species